AGCUCACCUUACCUGACACCAAGCCAGCUCUCAACGUUGCUUUUGCCCUACAUCUCCUUCCCAUUCAAGGGGUUAAGGGGGGGUACUCCUCAACGCAGUCCAUAAUCUGGAGGCUCUGAUGAAGGGUCUGUCCAGCACUUUGCCCUGCGCACAUGGCGCAGAGGGGUAAUUACACAUGGCCUAUGGGCUCCUGAAUAUGCUUGGGUCUGGGAAUGUGGG